rnacentral:rRNA from 1 species
CAGUCGCCACGGGAAUACGAAGGGUGCAAGCGUUACUCGGAAUUACUGGGCGUAAAGCGCGUGUAGGUGGUUGUUUAAGUCUGUCGUGAAAGCCCUGGGCUCAACCUGGGAAUUGCGAUGGAUACUGGGCGACUAGAGUGCGGUAGAGGAUAGUGGAAUUUCCGGUGUAGCAGUGAAAUGCGUAGAGAUCGGAAGGAACAUCUGUGGCGAAGGCGACUAUCUGGGCCAACACUGACACUGAGAGACGAAAGUUAGGGGAGAAAAUGGGAUUAGAUACCCCAGUAGUCCCUGUCUCUUAUAC